ensembl:lncRNA
AUGGGUGUUACGCACGAUUCGUCUCGGAUACACCAUUCAGUUUCGAAAAGGCCCGCCUCCUUUCCGCGGAAUUCUUCCCACGGUUGUGAAACCAGAGGAAGUCGCGGUGCUGCGGCAAGAAAUGACAGCUCUGCUGAAGAAAGGGGCUAUAGAAGAAGUACACCCCUCUCAGAUGGAGUCAGGUUUUUACAGCCGCUAUUUUGUUGUACCAAAAAAAGGGGGCGGUUUGCGACCCAUAUUGGAUCUACGCCGUUUGAAUCUUGCACUCAGGACGAGCAAAUUCAAGAUGUUAACGGUAAAGUCCAUUUUGUCUCAGAUUCAACCAAACACUUGGUUUGUCACGAUCGAUCUGAAGGAUGCAUAUUUUCAUAUUCAGAUCAUCAAGAGACACAGGAAGUUCCUCAGAUUCGCUUUAGAGGGCAAAGCGUAUCAAUACCGUGUUCUUCCGUUCGGCUUAGCCCUGGCUCCCCGAACUUUUUCAAAAUGCAUGGACGCAGCUCUGGCCCCGUUGCGGCUCCAGGGCGUUCGUGUGUUGAAUUACUUGGACGAUUGGCUGGUGCUAGCUCAAUCACAGACUCAAGCACUCUCUCACCGAGAUUUAGUGCUGAAUCAUUUAAGCAGCCUGGGCUUAUGCACGAAUUUCCAGAAGAGUGUUUUAAUCCCCUCUCAACGGAUAACCUUUCUGGGAAUAGAUUUGGACUCUCGCGCGAUGACAGCCAGACUAUCUCUCCCGCGCGUUCAGUCUCUCACGUCAUGCGUGCGUCACUUCAAAGUAGGCCGCACAGUGACGGUGAGUUUGUGUCUCAGGCUGUUAGGUCUGAUGGCAGCGGCAUCCCCUGUAAUUCGUCUGGGCUUACUUCACAUGCGCCCUUUUCAGUGGUGGACGAAAAGUCAGAACAUUUCACCCCGUUGUUUUCCGCAUCGUACGAUUUCGGUGACACGGAGGUGUGUUAUGUCAAUAAAACAGUGGAUGUCAACCGAGUUCCUUCUAGCCGGAGUUCGGCUGGGGAUUUGUGCUUCCCGAGAGACUGUCACGACGGACGCGUCUUUGACCGGUUGGGGAGCUGUUUGUCAAGGGCGCCCAGCUCAUGGAGUGUGGACAGCGACACAACGCGGUUGGCACAUAAACAGGUUGGAACUACUGGCAGUUUUUCUAGCUCUCCAGUAUUUCUCAAAUCUGCUGACCGGCCGUCAUGUACUACUCAGGUCAGACAACAUGGCGGUUGUGUCAUACCUGAAUCAUCAAGGAGGGUUACGCUCUCGCCCCCUGUGCAGGCUGGCGAGGAGUAUUCUUCUUUGGUCUCGGAACAGAUUUCUAUCGAUCCGAGCAGUUCAUGUCCCCGGACGUUUGAACGUCGGAGCGGAUCUGCUAUCCAGACAGACUCUGGAGCAGGGGGAAUGGAGAUUACACCCACAGACGGUGAGCCUUUUAUGGCGGAUAUUCGGAGAGGCGAGAGUGGACUUAUUCGCGUCGAGCACGACUACGCAUUGCCCGCUGUGGUUCUCCCUAUGCCCUCCAUCGCCCCUAGGCUUGGAUGCGUUAGCUCACGAUUGGCCCAGGACCAGCUUGUAUGCUUUUCCUCCAAUUCGUUUAAUUCCAGCGGUGUUGUCCAGGAUACGGCUGGACAGAGUGGAGCAGCUGCUGCUGGUGGCUCCGUGGUGGCCCACACAGCCGUGGUUUGCGGAACUGGUCAGUCUAAUAGUGGGCUCUCCAUGGGAGAUUCCCCUCAGACAGGACUUACUAUCGCAAGCACGAGGGAUGAUUUGGCACCCGAGGCCAGAUCUGUGGAAACUGUGGGCGUGGCCUCUGAGCGGAGUGAGUUAAUAUGUCCCGGUCUUUCUGCGGAAACCUCCGAGACUAUUAUGAAUUCCAGAGCAGCAUCUACGAGACGCUUAUAUGCUUUCAAAUGGAAGCUGUUUACGACCUGGUGUGGUUUUCGUAGUAUAGACCCAGUUUACUGCCCAGUGGCUUCAGUACUGGAGUUCCUUCAAGACCGUUUCUCUGAUGGAGUAACGCCAGCAACUUUGAAAGUUUAUGUGGCAGCCAUUUCAGCUAACCACGUAUAUAUGGAUGGUGCUUCAGUGGGCCGUCAUCCGCUGGUCUCUCGCUUUUUACAAGGUGCGCGACGGCUGAGGCCUUUCCGCCCUGUGCGAGUUCCCUCAUGGGAUUUAUCUAUUGUACUGCAAGGUCUAUCAGGACAUCCGUUUGAGCCCUUGGAAACCGUACCGGAUAAAAUCCUGACCUUGAAGACAGUUCUUCUUAUGGCCUUAUCCUCCCUCAAGAGAGUUGGGGAUUUACAGGCUCUUUCUGUUUCGCCGUCGUGCAUGGAUUUUGCACCAGGCUUUGUGAAGGUAUUGCUGCGACCGAGGCCUAAUUAUGUCCCUAAAGUCGCUUCGAACCCCUUUCAUUUUCAGCAGACGGUCCUGGAGGCUUUACCCCCUGCUGGGAUAGGAUCAGAAGAUCUAAGUCUUUGCCCUGUCAGAGCGCUUAAGACUUAUGUCGAUCGAUCAGCCUCAUGGCGUGAGUCCGACCAGCUGUUUGUCUGUUUUGGACACAAGAAUAGAGGCCAUGCUGUCACAAAGCAACGCAUGUCCCAUUGGUUGGUGGAGGCAAUAUCUUUAGCCUAUGAGGCGCGCGGUCUCGCCUCGCCUCUAGGAGUCAAAGCUCAUUCCACUAGAGCAGUCGCUUCCUCUCAGGCGGCCCUCAGUGGAUCUUCUAUGGCUGAUAUCUGUGCUGCGGCAGGAUGGUCCUCACCGAGCACUUUUAUAAAGUUUUACAGUCUGGAUGUAAGGACGGCUCCUGGCUCCCGGGUUCUCUCCGCUUGA